rnacentral:rRNA from 1 species
AUACGGAAGGUCCGGGCGUUAUCCGGAUUUAUUGGGUUUAAAGGGAGCGCAGGCGGAGAUGCAAGCGUGACGUCAAAUUUCGGGGCUCAACCCCGUCUCGCGUCGCGAACUGCGUCCCUUGGUUGCGGGAAGGGGAGGCGGAACUCGUGGUGUAGCGGUGAAAUGCAUAGAUAUCACGAAGAACUCCGAUCGCGAAGGCAGCCUUCCGGCCCGUCAACGACGCUCAUGCUCGAAGGUGCGGGUAUCAAACAGGAUUAGAUACCCUGGUAGUCCGCACAGUAAACGAUGGACACCCGCGGUUUGGCCUGUAUGGCUGAGCCGCCGAGCGAAAGCGUUAAGUGUCCCACCUGGGGAGUACGCCGGCAACGGUGAAACUCAAAGGAAUUGACGGGG